rnacentral:rRNA from 1 species
AGAGUUUGAUCCUGGCUCAGAAUGAACGCUGGCGGCAUGGAUUAGGCAUGCAAGUCGAACGAGAAAGCAGCUUCGGCUGCGAGUAAAGUGGCGAAAGGGUGAGUAACACGUGAGGAACCCGCCCCCCAGUCCGGAACAAUCCUGUGAAAACGGGCCUGAAACCGGAUGCCGGCCUCCCCCGCAUGGGUGGGCGCCGAAACAUUUAUGGCUGGAGGAUGGCCUCGCGCCCCAUUAGCUUGUUGGCGGGGUGACGGCCCACCAAGGCGACGACGGGUAGGUGGUCUGAGAGGAUGGUCACCCACACUGGGACUGAGACACUGCCCAGACUCCUACGGGAGGCUGCAGUCGAGAAUCUUCCGCAAUGGGCGCAAGCCUGACGGAGCGAUGCCGCGUGAGGGAAGUAGGCCUUCGGGUCGUGAACCUCUGUCGACGGGGACGAACGCAAUGACGGUACCCGUCAAGAAAGCCACGGCUAACCACGUGCCAGCAGCGGC